AGAGAGAGACAUGCGCGCAUAUCAAUAAGCGGAGGAAAAGAAACUAACAAGGAUUCCCCUAGUAACGGCGAGUGAAGCGGGAUGAGCUCAAAUUUGAAAUCUUAAAGGGUUUCCCUUUACGAAUUGUAGUUUAAAGAAGUGUUUUCUGUUGAGGUUUUGGUAAAAGUUCUUUGGAAUAGGACAUCAUAGAGGGUGAGAAUCCCGUAUUUGACCUUUACUUUCAACUUUGUGAUACACUUUCAAAGAGUCGGAUUGUUUGGGAAUGCAGUCCAAAAUGGGUGGUAAAUUUCAUCUAAAGCUAAAUAUUGGCGAGAGACCGAUAGCGAACAAGUACCGUGAGGGAAAGAUGAAAAGAACUUUGAAAAGAGAGUUAAACAGUACGUGAAAUUGUCAAAAGGGAAGCGUUUGACACCAGUGUUGUUUUUCUGAAAAUCAAUUAAAGAACUGUUUAUGCUAAGUUGUUUAGACUUUAUCAGCUAUCUGUUUAGUUUUGAGCUUUUCUUUAAUGCACUUUUCAGUUAACAAGUCAACAUCAAUUUCCUUUUGCUGUAAAAAAGCUUGAGGAAGGUGGCUUGAGAUUCGUCUUAAGUGUUUAUAGCCUCUUGCCUAUGCAGUCGGAGAGAUUGAGGUCUGCAGCGUAGAUCCUUCGGGGCUAAAUGCAUUUGUGCUAAGUUAUAGCAUUUUAUAGACAACUUGUUGACUAUGAUUUGUCUUGUAGCUUACUCGCUUAUGUUAUUUUACCUACGCUUAGGAUGUUGACGCAUGAGAUAUACGC
rnacentral:rRNA from 1 species